AUGGGGUUAGCGUAAGCGAAGCUCUUGAUCGAAGCCCCAGUAAACGGCGGCCGUAACUAUAACGGUCCUAAGGUAGCGAAAUUCCUUGUCGGGUAAGUUCCGACCUGCACGAAUGGCAUAAUGAUGGCGGCGCUGUCUCCAGCAGAGACUCAGUGAAAUCGAAAUCGCCGUGAAGAUGCGGUGUACCCGCGGCUAGACGGAAAGACCCCGUGAACCUUUACUGCAGCUUGACAUUGAACUUUGAUCUUACUUGUGUAGGAUAGGUGGGAGGCUUUGAAACCAGGACGCUAGUUCUGGUGGAGCCAAUCUUGAAAUACCACCCUGGUAAUAUUGAGGUUCUAACUCUGCUCCAUAAUCUGGAGCGAGGACCAUGUCUGGUGGGUAGUUUGACUGGGGCGGUCUCCUCCUAAAGAGUAACGGAGGAGUACGAAGGUGCGCUCAGCGUGGUCGGAAAUCACGCGUAGAGUAUAAAGGCAAAAGCGCGCUUAACUGCGAGACCCACAAGUCGAGCAGGUACGAAAGUAGGUCUUAGUGAUCCGGUGGUUCUGUAUGGAAGGGCCAUCGCUCAACGGAUAAAAGGUACUCUGGGGAUAACAGGCUGAUACCGCCCAAGAGUUCAUAUCGACGGCGGUGUUUGGCACCUCGAUGUCGGCUCAUCUCAUCCUGGGGCUGAAGCAGGUCCCAAGGGUAUGGCUGUUCGCCAUUUAAAGAGGUACGCGAGCUGGGUUUAGAACGUCGUGAGACAGUUCGGUCCCUAUCUACCGUGGGCGUUGGAAAUUUGAGAGGAUCUGCUCCUAGUACGAGAGGACCAGAGUGGACGAACCUCUGGUGUACCGGUUGUGACGCCAGUCGCAUCGCCGGGUAGCUAUGUUCGGAAGGGAUAACCGCUGAAAGCAUCUAAGCGGGAAGCCUACCUCAAGAUAAGAUUUCCCAAGGACUUUAUGUCCUCUAAAGAGCCGUUGAAGACUACGACGUUGAUAGGUUGGAUGUGGAAGUGCAGUGAUGCAUGAAGCUGACCAAUACUAAUUGCUCGUGAGGCUUGACUUG
rnacentral:rRNA from 1 species